AUUAUGCAAUUAUAAUUUUGUAUAAAAAGUGUAUAUAAACCGUUAUAUAUGUAUAGAAGAUGUAUAUUUACAGUUAAAUAGUAUAUAAAAGUUUUAUAUACAAUAUUUCCUGAGUUUGACAAUGUAUUCUUAGUGUAUUUCGAGUUGUUGUGUAUUUUAAGUGUACAAAAAAUAUAUUGUUCAACGAUGUAUAAAAAGCGUAUAGUACGUGUACAACCUAUACAUCACCUUGUUUUUCUUCUUCUUCUUCUUCUUCUUCUUCUUAUCUCAUGAGUAUUUUUUGCUUAUGUAGUAUUAUAUUUUCCUAAAUUUGAUCACUAAAAAUUUAAAAUUCUUUGUAAAAGUUAAAAAGGGAAUUUAUAAUUUGUGCAUAAUAGGAAGAAGUUUGGUGGUUGUGGAGAAGACAGUUGGGUUUGAUGGAAUUUUGGGGUUGAAAGGAUACUUUUUUACGGGGAUUUCACUAGAUAUGAAGGAUUUUGGGUGUGAUUUGGCGAGAUUUUAAUUUUUUUAACUACUAACAUUAAUUUUAAAAGAAUGUUAGGCUAGAGGUUGGGCUAGCAGCUAUUAUGGUUGCAUUGAGGAGCCAGAGUCUCUCGUUGGUUUUUUAAGUUUCACUUGCUAGCCCUUAUAAUUAUUUUUGGGCUAUGAAUUGUAUACCUUAUUUUUUGGCUAUCAGUUGUCAUUAGUUUUCACCAAGUGGCUACAAAUGAAUUUCUCUCAAACUAAUUUAAUGUAAAUGGGCCAUAUAAAGUCUGGGCCAGUCCAAAAAGAAAAAAAUAUGAGAGACGGGCCGAAUAGAUCCAAUUAGUUACCCCGGUAGUAAUACCUCUCGCCGUUCCCAAACUAUGCAAAGCCACCACCGGCUCAAAGUUGCUAACGUCCGGCGACAAGAGGUAAUUUUUCUUUGUUAUCACUUCUUAGGAUUAGGUGACGUUUGGUUUGAUUUUCGAAAAACAGCCAAUCAACCAACUAUCUCGGUGCCUAUCUGGUUUUCUUCUUUAUAGUGACACCUUCUUAUAAUUCAGAUACACAUAGGUAUACUAUCACAGGAACUGGUGAUGAAUUUACAUAGGUACACUGGAGUCGUUUCUAAUGGAGAUGCUGAAAUUUUACUGAAACCCCUGUUCGAAAGAACCUUCGUUUCGGUCUUAAAUUCGGAUAUUUUAUUUGGAGUUGAUGUCCGAAUGUGCUUCUUAUUAGUCUAUAAUACAAAAAACAUGAGAAAAUCUAUCUUUUCUUUUUUCUUCUAAUCUUAUUUGCUGUCUGAAAUUUAUCACUUUUGCAUUGUACUGUUAAGUUGCUGAUUUUCUUCAAUAUGUAUGCAGGAACAAGAAAUACUUACUUUGUGGUGUUUAUUAUUGGCCGACACCAACUAGUUUGAGAUUAAGUCAUAGCAGAGGCGUAUCUUGGAUUUUAAAUUUAUGGGUUCGGUAUUUUAGGACAGCGACCUCAAGUGCUAGUUACUGAGUUCUGAAUUUAAUACCCGUACAUAUUUAGUUAAUUUCUUAACAAUCUACAGGAUUUGAGCAAAGCUACUGGGUCGGUUGAACCAGUAUGUUACACUCUGCGUCUUCCCCUGAGUAAUAGUUGUUGUUGUUGUUGUUGUUGUCGUGUCUUGUGUGAUACUGAUACUAGUCUCAUGAAGUUCUAUGCUAGAAAACUGCCCUUUAGAUGCCUAUCUGUUUCUCUCCCAUUUGGGGUUUGUAACAUUUCUAAUGUACCAUGUAAAAGUUGCUUUAGCUACUUUUCCACCUUGUCUAGUGUGUUUUGUUCCGUAAGUCCCCAGUUUGCUGGCGAUAGAAUUCCAGGCGAGCAACAGAAAUGCAUGAUCUUGGGAAGAGAUUCUGAUGUUAAUGUUGUACUUGCUAGAAUAAGUCCUGGAAGCAGUGAGGCUGAGGUUCUCCAGUCAUUGCUUUCUGAUCCGGCUUGUGAUUCCAUACAUAUCACUGAUAACUUUGUUGAUUGGGUGCUUUAUCGCUUCAAAGAUGACUGGAAGUCUGCACUUGGUGCUUUUAGAUGGGCACAAUCACGUCCUGGCUACAAUCCCUCACCAGAAUUGUACGACAAGUUGGUAGAUAUACUGGGAAAGAUGAAGAAAAUGGAAAAGAUGCACUCAUUGAUAGACGAAAUGCAUGCAAACCAUCUUGUUUCUCUUAACACAAUAGCAAAAGUUAUGAGAAGGUUUGCAGGUGCAGGAGAGUGGAAAGAAGCAGUGAGGACAUUUGACGAGUUGGGAAAAUUCGGUUUGGAGAAGAAUGCAGAAUCAAUGAAUCUGUUACUAGACACUUUGUGCAAAGAAAAUAAAGUCCAACAGGCGCGUGAAAUUUUUUCCGAGCUCAAGUCGCAUAUCCCACCAAAUGCAAACACGUUUAACGUUUUUAUUCAUGGUUGGUGCAAAGUUAAUCGGGUAGAAGAAGCGUACUGGACAAUUCAGGAGAUGAAAGGCAAUGGUUGUUCUCCUUGCGUCAUCAGCUACUCAACCAUCAUCAUGUCCUACUGCCAGCAAUUUAACUUCCAGAGGGUCUAUGAGCUGCUUGAUGAAAUGCAAGGACUGGGAUGUGUACCAAAUGUUAUCACUUUCACCACUAUCAUGUGUUUCUUGACAAAAUCAGGGGCAUUUGAGGAAGCCCUUAAGAUUGCUGAGAGGAUGAAAUCAGUUGGUUGUAAACCUGAUACACUUUUCUACAACGCUCUGAUUCAUACAUUAGGCAGGGCGCACCGAUUACAAGAAGCUACUCGUGUCUUGAAGGUUGAAAUGCCCAGAAAUGGUGUUCAACCUAAUACAUCGACGUACAAUACUAUCAUUGCCAUGUUUUGCCAUCAUUUGCAAGAGGAAAGAGCGCUAGAAUUUUUCAGGGACCUGGAAAGUUCACCAUAUUGUAAACCUGAUGUUCAGUCAUACUUUCCACUGCUCAAGUUGUGCUUUAAAGUUGGGAAGACAGAUGAUUUCCUGAAUAAAUUGGUGAAUGCCAUGGUUAAUAAGCAUCAUCUAAGUCUUGAUCUAUCAAGUUAUACACUUCUUAUCCAUGGUUUGUGCAGAGCAAAUAAAUGUGAAUGGGCCUAUCUUGUUUUUGAGGAUAUGAUCCGCCAAGAGAUUACUCCUCGAUACAAGACAUGCAGUGUGCUACUGCAGGAAAUCAAACAAAAGAAUAUGCAUGAUGCUGCCGAUAGGAUUGAAUUGUUCAUGAAGAAAAUGAAGACCUCCUGAAUAGUUCCUGGAAACUAAUUUGAUGUUUCGUUUAUCAAGUAACAAGUUUCCCUUCAUAAGUGCCUGCUUUUAAUAGAUUGUUGAAUUUGAAAUGUAGAUUUCUUGUUUGGCAUAACACUGAAAUCUGGGAAUAGCGCUGCAGCUGUUCUCUCUGGUUUGGUAUGAAGCUUGUACCUUGAUCACAUUUUCUUACUAUUUCUUACAUCUGGCUGCUUAAUUAAGCCAGAGUAGUAUCAUGUUGCUUGGCUGCUGAAUACACGGAGAUGAUUAUCUUUCGGUUCACAAGGCUAGUCUUGGAGCAACUCUUAGUAGUCCACACUGAUGCUUUAAAAGAUUACAAAGCUCCAUUCCAGAUGAUAGGGUAUUGGUGAAUUGUCCAUGGUCCUCCUACGCUUGAGUUGCACUCACUUGCACUAAAGUUAUUUUGCUAGCCUUUGCUCUUCUUCAUGCUGCAAAAAGAACGGGAAUACUUACUACUCUAUGCAUUCCUGAGAAGGAUAAAUUGGCUUCCAAUCUGUGUUGAAGAUAUGGUGUCUGUGCACAAAAUAUUUUGGAUGAUGAUCUUGGAAUUCCCUGAAAUUGCAAACCUUCUUUUGGGAUAAUGGUGGUUUUCGGGCCAUCUUGGUGGCACCUUGCCUAUUCCAUCGAGCUUUGUUACCUACCUCCAACCAGCACAAGGCAGCUGGACAGAACUACCUAGCAUAUUCGUCUCUCUUGAGAUUUGAACCUUAUUCUACCGUGAUUUUUCAUCCACUUCAUUUACUGCUCGGCCGUACCAAUGGUGCCAGACCUAGAAGCGGUGAAUUAUACUAUUGUAUUGACGAUGAAGGGCUUUAUGUAAAUGAUGUACAAUGCUUUGGUUUAGACUUUAGACUAUAGACUAAUUUUGAGAGUUACUUUCUUUUUGAUGGAUAACAUAGAGAAAUGAAUGUCUUUUUCCGUCCAAUAUUUUGUCGGUGACUUCUAAAUGGAUGCCUUUUCAUCCUAAUAUUUUGUACUAGGUGACUUACUGUUUAAAGUAUGUUGUUGCUCCAUUACUUUAUAUUGAAACUUCCAAUUU